CAAUAGCGUAUAUUAAAGUUGUUGCGGUUAAAAAGCUCGUAGUUGGAUUUCUGCCGAGGACGACCGGUCCGCCCUCCGGGUGAGUAUCUGGCUCGGCCUGGGCAUCUUCUUGGAGAACGUAGCUGCACUUGGCUGUGUGGUGCGGUAUUCAGGACUUUUACUUUGAGGAAAUUAGAGUGUUUCAAGCAGGCAUACGCCUUGAAUACAUUAGCAUGGAAUAAUAAGAUAGGACCUCGGUUCUAUUUUGUUGGUUUCUAGAUCUGAGGUAAUGAUUAAUAGGGAUAGUUGGGGGCAUUCGUAUUUAACUGUCAGAGGUGAAAUUCUUGGAUUUGUUAAAGACGGACCACUGCGAAAGCAUUUGCCAAGGAUGUUUUCAUUGA
rnacentral:rRNA from 1 species